CAGUCGCCGCGGGAAUACGUAGGGUGCGAGCGUUAAUCGGAAUUACUGGGCGUAAAGCGUGCGCAGGCGGUUAUAUAAGACAGAUGUGAAAUCCCCGGGCUCAACCUGGGACCUGCAUUUGUGACUGUAUAGCUAGAGUACGGUAGAGGGGGAUGGAAUUCCGCGUGUAGCAGUGAAAUGCGUAGAUAUGCGGAGGAACACCGAUGGCGAAGGCAAUCCCCUGGACCUGUACUGACGCCCAUGCACGAAAGCGUGGGGAGCAAACAGGAUUAGAUACCCCCGUAGUCCCUGUCUCUUAUAC
rnacentral:rRNA from 1 species